CACACACACACACACACACACACACACACACACACACACACACACACACACACACACAGAGUCACGUGGUUUCCAGUAAAUGCAGAGAGGAGCAGCAGCCAGUGAAAGUGAAAGUGUUCAGACUUUGUUUUAACUGUAACGAGCAGACGGAGGAAACGUGAAGUCUGAGGCUGAGAGAAGAAGAUUCAGGAGGAACUUCUGUCAGUCAAUCAACAGUUUGACUCAACGCUGUGAUCGGCUGAGUCCAACACAUUAAACCUACAACUGUCUCAGGUUACCGUGACAACAGGGACACAGUACUGAAGAUGAGUGUUUAUGAGGAGGAAGAGGAGGACAGAGCAGAGUCUCCA